UAAGGCGAUGUAAUCCCUGCGCCAGCUAGCUCUGGGCGGGGUCGUAAAAUAAUAUAUUUUAAGGGCGCCAAAUUCUACAGCCAGUGAAGUGACGUCCUUAGAAUUAUCAGGACGCGCUGGCCUAACUACCUUUAUAAUAAACUGCUGUUUAACGGGGUAUAUAAGUAAUUUUAUUGUAGUGCAUAAGCGAGCGAGGUAAGAGGUGAUAAUGAUAAGAUGUGACAACCCAAAUGACGAAUUAAUGACUUGAUUUAUGACAAUGACUAAGUAAUUACUAAUUAACAAUUAAAUCAAUCAACUUCAACUUGGCAGCGAACACAAGUGGGUGGACAAAGCUUUACCUAAGGCGGGUGUAACGUAAGCUUACUUUACAGCGUCUUAUUAUAACUACUAACUCGUAGUUCAAGGGGGUAAUAGUCGGUCUAACAAAUAAAAUGAUGGAAGUGACCGGUAACUUGUUGACGCUUUUACAGUGAUGGAUAGUGAUGUGCCAUGCCUCUCUUACUCUUACCCCUGCUCAGAGAUUCUAUUUACACGUAUUCCGAGCUGGAACCAGCGAUGGUAUCGAUGAAUACAGAAUAGAUAAAUGUUGACAGGGAAGAUGUUCGGGCCUUAACGAUAAACAAAACGGGUAUGCGAAUCUGGUUACUAAAUUUGUCCUAAAACUGGUAGCAUAAAACUUGAAUCAAAAGCUAAAAUAGAAUCUGUAAGAUUACUGUGAUUAUGAGAUUAAUACUAACCCAGAAGGAUCUGGCUUUUGCUCUUAAGUAAACUAAAUAAUUGUACUAAUAUUAUGAUGUAUAUAGUUACAACGGCUGUAU